rnacentral:miRNA from 1 species
GCGGAGUUUGGAACAAGUACA